UCUGCUAAACGGGUCGGGUAUUCGGGUCAUACGUGAAAUGAAGUCGUUUUGGUCAUUGUUGCCAAAACCCAAAACGACGUCGUUUUAUUCCCAAUAUAAAUGUUAAAAAAUAAAAUAAAAAACAAUUUAACCCUUAUUUUUUUUUUAAAAAAGAGAGAGAUCAAACAUUCUCUCACGCAGCCCUCAAAUCCGGCCAAUAGGGCCAUCGCUUGCGCCGCCGUGACCCCGCCGUAAGCGGUGGUCGGAGCAACAUGGAGGUCGCGUCUUUGGCCCACUUUUCAAACGCCCGAAGGCUUAGCCUUUUGGGCCUUAAGACCGAGGGAAGGAGAGGUCCCCAUGCCCCCCUUUUAGUCCGAUUUCGGCAACCGAAAUGGCUCCAGCGACAGACUCCACAGAUAACCCCAAGUGCUGACAGUGAAGCGUGGAGGUGACGUGCGGCAGAUGUGUGAGGUUGGCGAUUGGACGCGAUGAUGGUGGCGGUGGCAUGCGCGAGGGAGGCUGGCAGAACAUGCAGCGCCGGGGCAUUGGGCAGAGGCGUGCGGCGCGCCUUAGGGUUUGCUUCUCUGCUGAAUGUUUGUUGUGGGCUGCUGUUAAUUUGGGCUUAGGGUUAUUAAUUGGGCUUGGGUUGUUGUUUGGGCUGGUGUAACAAUUAGGUUAGUCUGUUCAAUUUGGUUUGUAACUGGGUUUGGGCUUGAUUUGGGCCCCGGGCAAAAAUGGGCUUAUACAGUGUUAAUUUUUAUUUUAAAUAUUAUUGGGCAUAAAUGAAAAAUAUAAACUUUCAAGAAUGUUUUAAA